UACAGAGGGGGCAAGCGUUGUUCGGAAUUACUGGGCGUAAAGGGCGCGUAGGCGGCCUGUUAAGUCGAACGUGAAAUCCCCGGGCUCAACCCGGGAACUGCGUCCGAUACUGGCAGGCUUGGAUCCGGGAGAGGGAUGCGGAAUUCCAGGUGUAGCGGUGAAAUGCGUAGAUAUCUGGAGGAAUACCGGUGGCGAAGGCGGCAUCCUGGACCAACACUGACGCUGAGGCGCGAAAGCUAGGGGAGCAAACGGG
rnacentral:rRNA from 1 species